rnacentral:rRNA from 1 species
GGGAAGUCCGGGCAAGGGGGUGGGGUAAUAAGGGGGGGGCAAGCGUUAUCCGGAUUCAAUGGGUUUAAAGGGUGCGUAGGUGGGCUUGUAAGUCAGUGGUGAAAUCCCCGAGCUUAACUUGGGAACUGCCAUUGAUACUAUCAGUCUUGAAUACUGUGGAGGUCAGCGGAAUAUGUCAUGUAGCGGUGAAAUGCUUAGAUAUGACAUAGAACACCAAUUGCGAAGGCAGCUGGCUACACAAAUAUUGACACUGAGGCACGAAAGCGUGGGGAUCAAACAGGAUUAGAUACCCGAGUAGUC